AACGAACGCUGGCGGCGUGCCUAACACAUGCAAGUCGAGCGAGAAAAUCCCCGCAAGGGGAUGAGUACAGCGGCGAACGGGUGAGUAACACGUGGGCAACCUGCCCCUCAGUCAGGAAUAACCCCGCGAAAGCGGGGCUAAUACCAGAUGACGUCCCUUGGGGGCAUCCUCGGGGGACCAAAGGGGGCGAGCGCAAGCGGCUCGCGCUGAGGGAUGGGCCUGCGGCUGAUUAGCUAGGUGGUAGGGUAACGGCCUACCAAGGCGACGAUCAGUAGCCGACCUGAGAGGGUGACCGGCCACACUGGGACUGAGACACGGCCCAGACUCCUACGGGAGGCAGCAGUGGGGAAUAUUGCGCAAUGGGCGAAAGCCUGACGCAGCGACGCCGCGUGGGUGAUGAAGGCCUUCGGGUCGUAAAACCCUGUCGGGUGGAACGAAUCUUCGCCCCUCUAACACAGGGGUGGAUUGACGGUACCACCGAAGGAAGCCCCGGCUAACUAC
rnacentral:rRNA from 1 species